rnacentral:rRNA from 1 species
UACGUAGGGUGCGAGCGUUGUCCGGAAUUAUUGGGCGUAAAGAGCUCGUAGGCGGCUUGUCGCGUCGGAUGUGAAAGCCCGGGGCUUAACUCCGGGUCUGCAUUCGAUACGGGCAGGCUAAAGUUCGGUAGGGGAGAUCGGAAUUCCUGGUGUAGCGGUGAAAUGCGCAGAUAUCAGGAGGAACACCGGUGGCGAAGGCGGAUCUCUGGGCCGAUACUGACGCUGAGGAGCGAAAGCGUGGGGAGCAAACAGG